rnacentral:rRNA from 1 species
AUUGCCCUAGUAACGGCGAGUGAAGCGGCAACAGCUCAAAUUUGAAAUCUGGCUCCUUUUAGGGGUCCGAGUUGUAAUUUGCAGAGGGUGCUUUGGCAUCGGCGGCGGUCUAAGUUCCUUGGAACAGGACAUCACAGAGGGUGAGAAUCCCGUACGUGGGCGCCUGCCUUUGCCGUGUAAAGCCCCUUCGACGAGUCGAGUUGUUUGGGAAUGCAGCUCUAAAUGGGAGGUAAAUUUCUUCUAAAGCUAAAUACCGGCCAGAGACCGAUAGCGCACAAGUAGAGUGAUCGAAAGAUGAAAAGUACUUUGGAAAGAGAGUCAAAUAGCACGUGAAAUUGUUGAAAGGGAAGCGCUUGCAGCCAGACUUGCCCGCAGUUGCUCACCUAGGCUUUGGCCUGGGGCACUCUUCUGCGGGCAGGCCAGCAUCAGUUUGGGCGGUCGGAUAAAGGCCUCUGUCACGUAUCUCCCUUCGGGGUGACCUUAUAGGGGAGGCGUAAUGCGACCAGCCCGGACUGAGGUCCGCGCAUCUGCUAGGAUGCUGGCGUAAUGGCUGUAAGCGGCCCGUCUUGAAACACGGACCAAGGAGUCUAACAUCUAUGCGAGUGUUUGGGUGUCAAGCCCGAGCGCGCAAUGAAAGUGAACGGAGGUGGGAACCCUUUGGGUGCACCAUCGACCGAUCCUGAUGUCUUCGGAUGGAUUUGAGUAAGAGCAUAGCUGUUGGGACCCGAAAGAUGGUGAACUAUGCUUGAAUAGGGUGAAGCCAGAGGAAACUCUGGUGGAGGCUCGCAGCGGUUCUGACGUGCAAAUCGAUCGUCAAAUUUGGGCAUAGGGGCGAAAGACUAAU